GCAGGAAGUUUUGCAACACAUUGCCUGUGGUGAUGGGGGAAGUAGAAAAUGUUCCCAAUGAACUGGGUGACGGAGCCUGGCACUUCCUGUGAACCGUGGGGGGGGGAGCUGCCAACAGAGGGAAGUUGAACCAUAAGAAGCUGGGACUCGACUGGGCUGGAAGAUUCUCUGCCUUGCCACGUGGCAAAUGAAACCUAAGACACAGGUUCUGGGCAAAGAUCAAAUCAGACCACUCUCAGGAAAACAUGCUCUGAAGACGAAGCUGAGUGUAAAACCUUUAAUAUCCUUUGUCGAGAAUGCAGAACCAUCGGAGCUGGUGUCUCGGAGAAUGAUUUGGGCCCAGGGCUUCUACGGAGUGCUAUCCCUCCCACUCUUGGCAGAAGCCCCGGGCGGAGGAGGGCCUGUGUCAAAGGAAUAUGUGGGCAUGGCUUUUGCCUGCUAGGGUGAACCUCAAUAAGGAACAUGACCAAUGUGGACUGCUGGAGGCAGAGACGCACAGAAACGGAAGUUCUCAUGUCUAUAGGCAGGUAGCUGACUAUAAAACCAGGCAGUUGCAAACGUGUGAUACCUUUCAUGGAAAAGAUAGGAGGACCCACAGGGCUGAUCAAGGAGCCAGAGGGCAAAGGCAAGAGCCACAGAGGGUCAUUUUGGGGCAAGAAUAGGCCUAAGUCCUAAUCAGGGACCUUGAAACAUUUUCCUGGCUGGAUUUCAGAACUGCUGAAGGACUGAAAGGACUCCUGUGUGUUUGUUUUUCCUUUUUGAACAGAAGGCGUGUCCACCGCAGUAUGCUAUGCCUGGCCCGCCAGUGUACGUUGGGUGUGUGAAAGACAGACAACCCGUCUCUUUAGUGCACAGAUCUUCAGACUGCUGGAAAUGGGACUUGAGAAGCUGAACUUAAGGAACUAGCCCCAGUGAGCCCCAUCGGUACCUGGACUUGAUUUAUAUGAUGAGAUCCUGGAAUUUAGGCUGAUGCUGGGAUGGGGUGAGACUUUAAGAAGAAGAAGACGAUGUAACUGCAUUGCACCUACUCCUCCGUUUGCUUAUUUCAUGACAACAACUAUUAUUUGAAUAGCUGAGGGAGGUGACCAGGUUUGGAGGAAGCUGCAAUCAUGCCAGGGAUCAAGUCAAGCCUGCUGCUGAGGCCAAGAGGACAGCGACAGGCAGGAAGCUCCCCCACCUCCCCCAUGGAAGAGGGUGAGGGAGGGAAACCAUGAAGGCUGGCCCCCAGAGUGACCAGGCUGUGAGUGACGGUGACAGUGAUUGAGGUCCUUCUACGCCUUCUGUCCUCCGAAGCCAAGAGCUCUGGGAUUGGGCAGGGGUCCCGGCGGGCGUGUUGACCUUUGAUCUUCAACACCUAUCACAUCUGAUUCUUGGGAGAUGCCAGGGGGAUGUUUCGUCAUCUGACCCGUGGAGACGUCCUGCAGCUGCCGUCAGUGGGAAGCACACCCAAGUCCAUCUAACCGCGGACAAGCAUGUGCCGAGAGGUGCUGACACCUGGCUUCCCCCUGUGUCUAGUGGUUAGACCAAGACAUCAGGGCCGGCGGUCAUUUAUUGCUCUUUCCUGAUCCUUCCUCCAUUCCUCUCGCCGAGCAGGAGGCCUCCUGAUUCUUACUUCAUAAACAAGGCUUGGUGAGGGUAAGGAAUUUACCCAGGCUCAGGUAGUGGUGGGUCGGGAGCUGAGAUCGAGGUCUGAUGACCCCUGUUUGUCUGUCUGUGUGUCUCUCUCCUCCCUCCCCCUCUGUUGGCAGAAAAAAACCCACUAAGUUCAAAUAUUUGUCCCCUCUGCA